GGAAACCAGAGAAAAAAAUCACACACAUGUUGUCUUGACUUCCCUUAUGCAAACAGGUGUCGACUAUUUCAUUGUAAACUUUCUCAGGGUCAUCAGUGACUUCAAGCCUGGAUCUUACAAAAUCACAGAGCUCUUCAUUUCCCAUAACAUCCCAGAUACUAUCACAUGCAAGGAUAAUGAAGUGAUCAUCUUCUUCAGAUCUUUCAGUGUCAUGGACUUCAGGCUCUGGUGAGACAAGCUGCCCAGUAGGACCUUUCCCAUGGAUACAUUUGUAAUCAAAAUCCCCAAGGGCUUUGGAUACAGCCAGAGAGGCUUUCACAUGCUAAAGCAUUACAGAGCCACCUGCAUUCUGAAUUCAUUCUUUUUCUAGCGGAUUUGCAAUUUGUGAAGAAAUGAACUUUCCUGUUCCUACAAAGUAAACGUCUAGAGUCUUCAUAGUUAAUGAAAUAAUUAUGUUGGGGAGAAAGUAAGACGCUUACAUCUGUUGACCCACUUCUAUCUGCACCAUGUUUCUUCUCUGACAUAACUCUCGUGUUCAUCAAUCUCCAGGAAACCUGUUCUGAUUCCAUUCUUUACAUUUUCCAAAGAAGGUGCUCCUGCAGACCCUGUAAAUCCUGGUUAUCGGCGAUGUGAUCUAACAAAUGCUCACAGCAGUAUUUGGCAACCUGAGAACCAGGAUGCCCGUUAUACACAGCAAAGAAUGACCACCUUUCAAGUCCACUUGGCAAAGCAAUCACAGCCGUAUGUGCAUCCUCCAUUUCAAUACGUCAACCUUGCAUGCUGCGUAGCUCGUAUCGCAACUAAUUACCCCACCCCCAGGCAUUAUGCUCUUCCAUCUUUGCUUGUCUAAAGAUGGUCCCAUUAUGUCAUAAUCCUGUAGGUCUCUAUUAAAAGUCAAAAAUCAUCAACAAAACCAAAACAAGUCAACAACCACAACAACAACAACAAAACAAGGCUGUGGAGAGAAGGCAAUGCUUAUACACUGUUGGUGGGAAUGUAAAUGGAUUCAGCCACUGUGGAAAGCAAAGAAAUUAAAGCUUUUAAUGUCUCAAAGAAUGUAAAACAGAACUACCGUUCGACCCAGAAAUCCCACUACUGAGUAUAUAUCCAAAGGAAAAUAAAUCGUUCUCCCAAAAAGACAUAUACUUUUAUGUUCAUAACAGUGCUGUUUACUAUAGCACAGUAAUUAACCUGGGUGCCCAUCCGUGGUGGAUUGGAUAAAGAAAAUGUGGUACAUAUGCAUGUUGGACUACUAAACACCAUACAAAAGAACAAAAGCAUGUCCUUUGCAGCAAUGUGGAUGCAGCUGGAGGCCAUUAUCCCAAACAAAUUAACACAGGAACAGAAAAACAAAUACUGCAUGUUCUCAUUUAUAAGUGGGAGCUAAACAUUGAGAACUCAUGAACAUAAAUAUGGCAACAAUAGACACUGGGGACUCACAGAAUGCGGAUGAAGGAAGGAAAGCAAGAGUUGCAAACCUAACUUUUGGGUACUACAUUCUAUAUCUGGGGGACAGAGCAUUUGCAUCCCCAACCUUAGCAUCGUGUGAUAUAACCAUGUCACAUACCUGUAUAUGUACCUCUAUUGAAUCUAAAAUGAAAGUUGAAAUUAUUUUUAAAAACUUUAUGCUAGUAUAAUUUUAAAGCAUCCUACAUAUACUAGCUUUUGAACAUAUUAUUACAGUACUCAUAUCAUUUUAUUGUAGAGAUUAGGGAAGCUUUGUUUUCUGACCAGUAUUAGAAAAGAUUUGAGUAACAAUUACCUGCAAUCUUUAAGCAAACUUCUUUCACCUGGUAUAAUGUGUUCCUUAAGAAACUUAAGAAUUUUUCAAAGACUUUUUGUUUCAAAUAUUGGUUAUUAUUUUAAUACUAAAUGUUAUUUUAAUAUAUUAAACAUAAAAAGAAUAUAAUUGUUUAAAAAAUGCUCUCUCCAGAGCACUAGGAGAUAAAAUGAUACAUUUACUUAUGUAACACUUUCUUAAUAUUCCUUUGCAUUUUAUUACUAUCAGUGAGAGUUUUUGAUAUUGGACAAAGAAAGCUUAAGGGGUUAGAAAAGUUCUCUCAAUAUAUAUCUCUUGUUGGCCAAUUCUGCUUCCAGCCUUUUAAUGAGACUGUCCAGAAUUAUUCUCUUACCGAACAUCUUUUCCUACUCUCAGACCUGCCAUCGUUACAUCUUCCACGAAGGUAAGAACAUGGAAGACAGAAGCAGCCCAAGCAUAAGUCUUUUAUAGUUCCCAGGAGUAAGAGUGCCAGACAUGUAGCAGGCAAUUUGCCCAGUGGCUUCUCCAUUUUUGACAAUUUCUAAGCUCAGCUGUCAGUCAGUGUUAGCUUUGGCCUGCUGCCACCCUAGAAAUUCUGCCUCAUUCUGAGCUCUUGGUCACCUGGAUUGCUAAUUGUGCUUCCAGGGAUUCUGAAGCUCCUCAACCUACACAGGUUGUCUUUUUUUAAAAAAAGAUAACAUGUAUUUAUAGAGUACAAACAAAUUAUACACACACACAUAUAAUUAAGAUAUAUAUAUAAUUAUAGCUAUUUUGUAUAGUAUGUACAGUAGUACCCCUGUAACUAAACCCAAGUUUGGCUCCUCACUGCUUGAAAGGCCAAACUCAAGAGACAAGGGUUGGUGGGAGGAAAAGCACGUUUAUUCAGAAAGCCAGCAAACCCAGAUGAUGGCACACUAUCAUGCUAAAGUACCAUCUUAAGUCAUUCCAAAUUUUUGGCUCUUUUUAUGUCAACGGCAGGAGGAAGAUGGAGGGCUCAGGGCAAGAGGUAACUGAUGACUGCAGAUAUCUGGGCACCAGUGAGGGUGUGAGGAUGUUGGGAACUUCUUUUCCCUGGUCAGGUCACAGUAUUUCCAUAAAUCUUUAACAAAACAUAGUUACUUGUCCUUUAAACUCAGAGUUCUUUCUGAAAAACUACAUGAUUGCUGUUUUUGUGUAUGAUCUCACUGCUCUAUAAUUAUCCUUGCCUAUCUGUGGGAAUAGGUAAAGGUCCCUUAAACAAAAAUGAAGUUAGUUAUGUUAGUUUUUUGCUGCUUUGGUGUUACACCUAUUUGAGGUGGAUACAUUCCAAGACCCCCCCUGUAGAUGCCUGAAACUGUAGAUUGUAUCUAGUCCUAUAUAUGUUGUUUUUCCUAUACAUAUAUACUUAAAAGAAAGUCUAGUUUAUCAAUUAGGCACAGUAAGAGAUCAGCAGCAACAAUAAUAAAACAGAAUAAUUAUAACAAUAUGCUGUAAUAAAAGUUUUAUGAAUGUAGUUUCUCUCUCUGUCUCAAAAUAUCUGAUUGUACUGUAUUCACCUAUUUUCAGUGACCAAGGGUAACCAAAACUGUAGCAAGUGCAACCACGGAUA
rnacentral:lncRNA from 1 species